AAAAACUCCGGUGGUAUGAGAUGGGCCCGCGUCUGAUUAGCUAGUUGGCGGGGUAACGGCCCACCAAGGCGACGAUCAGUAGCCGACCUGAGAGGGUGACCGGCCACAUUGGGACUGAGACACGGCCCAAACUCCUACGGGAGGCAGCAGUGGGGAAUAUUGCACAAUGGGGGAAACCCUGAUGCAGCGACGCCGCGUGAGCGAUGAAGUAUUUCGGUAUGUAAAGCUCUAUCAGCAGGGAAGAAGAUGACGGUACCUGACUAAGAAGCCCCGGCUAACUACGUGCCAGCAGCCGCGGUAAUACGUAGGGGGCAAGCGUUAUCCGGAUUUACUGGGUGUAAAGGGAGCGUAGACGGCGGUGCAAGCCAGAUGUGAAAGCCCGGGGCUCAACCCCGGGACUGCAUUUGGAACUGUAUGGCUGGAGUGUCGGAGAGGCAGGCGGAAUUCCUAGUGUAGCGGUGAAAUGCGUAGAUAUUAGGAGGAACACCAGUGGCGAAGGCGGCCUGCUGGACGAUGACUGACGUUGAGGCUCGAAAGCGUGGGGAGCAAACAGGAUUAGAUACCCUGGCAGUCCACGCCGUAAACGAUGACUACUAGGUGUCGGGCAGCAAAGCUGUUCG
rnacentral:rRNA from 1 species